rnacentral:rRNA from 1 species
CUGGCGGCGUGCCUAAUACAUGCAAGUCGAACGGUCUUUCUAUGGAAGCUUGCUUCCACUGAGAAGAUAGUGGCGAACGGGUGAGUAACACGUGGGUAACCUGCCCAUAAGAGGGGGAUAACAUCCGGAAACGGGUGCUAAUACCGCAUAGUUUUCUUGAUUGCAUGAUUGAGAAAGGAAAGACGGCCUUUGUGCUGUCGCUUAUGGAUGGACCCGCGGCGUAUUAGUUAGUUGGUGAGGUAACGGCUCACCAAGACGAUGAUACGUAGCCGACCUGAGAGGGUGAUCGGCCACAUUGGGACUGAGACACGGCCCAAACUCCUACGGGAGGCAGCAGUAGGGAAUCUUCCGCAAUGGACGAAAGUCUGACGGAGCAACGCCGCGUGAGUGAAAGAAGGUUUUCGGAUCGUAAAACUCUGUUGUCAGAGAAGAACAAGUUGGAGAGUAACUGCUCCAGCCUUGACGGUAUCUGACCAGAAAGCCACGGCUAACUACGUGCCAGCCGCCGC